rnacentral:tRNA from 1 species
AUCUAAAUAGUUUAUUAGAAUAUCGAUUUGUGGGGUCGAGGGAAUAUUAUUAAUAUUUUAGAUA